AAUAGUCUUCAGGGACGGGUGAAAAUCCCUACCGGUGGUAAAGCCCACGAGCCGUUAAGGCAGAUUCGGUUAGAUUCCGAAGCCGACAGUCAGAGUCUGGAUGAAAGAAGACAAGA
rnacentral:ncRNA from 2 species